rnacentral:rRNA from 1 species
GACGGGGGGGGCAAGUGUUCUUCGGAAUGACUGGGCGUAAAGGGCACGUAGGCGGUGAAUCGGGUUGAAAGUGAAAGUCGCCAAAAAGUGGCGGAUGCUCUCGAAACCAAUUCACUUGAGUGAGACAGAGGAGAGUGGAAUUUCGUGUGCGGGGUGAAAUCCGUAGAUCUACGAAGGAACGCCAAAAGCGAAGGCAGCUCGUCUGGGACGUGACUGACGCUGAGACGGCGAAAGCGUGG